GCCGGUGAUGAUAUAAUCCACAUUUAUGAGGUGCAAUGGAUCCGAGACCCUGUUUUACAGGGAGAACCACUUGGUGAAGCUGUAUUUCAAAUGAUAUUACUGGAUUUAACUGAGGU